rnacentral:rRNA from 1 species
GCAGCAGGCGCGAAACCUUUACACUGCACGCCAGUGCGAUAAGGGGACUCCAAGUGCGAGGGCAUAUCGUCCUCGCUAUCCUGUACUGUAGGGUAGUACAGUAUCAAGAGCUGGGCAAGACCGGUGCCAGCCGCCGCGGUAAUACCGGCAGCUCGAGUGAUGGCCAAUCUUAUUGGGCCUAAAGCGUCCGUAGCUGGCCGCGCAAGUCCGUCGGGAAAUCCAUCAGCCCAACUGAUGGGCGUCCGGCGGAAACUGCACGGCUUGGGACCGGAAGGCUCGAGAGGUACGUCCGGGGUAGGAGUGAAAUCCCGUAAUCCCGAACGGACCACCGAUGGCGAAAGCAUCUCGAGAAAACGGAUCCGACAGUGAGGGACGAAAGCUAGGGUCUCGAAC